GACGAACCGUGCGAACGUUGUUCGGAUUCACUGGGCUUAAAGGGCGCGUAGGGGGGCAUGCCAGUCAGGGGUGAAAGCUCCCGGCCCAACCGGGAAAGUGCCUUUGAUACUGCAUGUCUCGAGGGAGGUAGGGGCACGUGGAACUUCCGGUGGAGCGGUGAAAUGCGUAGAUAUCGGAAGGAACGCCGGUGGCGAAAGCGGCGUGCUGGACCUCUACUGACGCUGAGGCGCGAAAGCCAGGGGAGCAAACGGG
rnacentral:rRNA from 1 species